rnacentral:rRNA from 1 species
AGAAAGCUUGCUUUCUUGCUGGCGACCGGCGCACGGGUGAGUAACACGUAUCCACCUGCCCUUUACUCGGGGAUAGCCUUUCGAAAGAAAGAUUAAUACCCGAUAGUUCCGCAUGGUUAAAGGAUUCCGGUAAAGGAUGGGGAUGCGUUCCAUUAGGUUGUUGGUGAGGUAACGGCCCACCAAGCCUUCGAUGGAUAGGGGUUCUGAGAGGAAGGUCCCCCACAUUGGAACUGAGACACGGUCCAAACUCCUACGGGAGGCAGCAGUGAGGAAUAUUGGUCAAUGGGCGCUAGCCUGAACCAGCCAAGUAGCGUGAAGGAUGAAGGCUUAUGGGUCGUAAACUUCUUUUAUAUAAGAAUAAGUGCAGUAUGUAUACUGUUUUGUAUGUAUUAUAUGAAUAAGGAUCGGCUAACUCCGUGCCAGCAGCCGCGGUAAUACGGAGGAUCCGAGCGUUAUCCGGAUUUAUUGGGUUUAAAGGGAGCGUAGGUGGACUGGUAAGUCAGUUGUGAAAGUUUGCGGCUCAACCGUAAAAUUGCAGUUGAUACUGUCAGUCUUGAGUACAGUAGAGGUGGGCGGAAUUCGUGGUGUAGCGGUGAAAUGCUUAGAUAUCACGAAGAACUCUGAUUGCGAAGGCAGCUCACUGGACUGCAACUGACACUGAUGCU